GGCAGGGCCAGGCAGGCCCACCUCGCCGCCACUGCCCAAUGCCGCUGCUGCCUCUCGCCUCCCACGCUCACCUCAUUUCUCUUGCAGACGGCAGUGGCCUCUCUCCGACUGGAAGCCGCCCCCCCCGACUCCAGGCGGCCCUGCCCAUGUUGUAGUCUUUGCUCACGGUGUCUGUUGAGUGCCCAGUCUGGGCCAGACUCUGUUCUAGGCAUGGGGCAUACAGUAGGGACUAAGGCAGGAUCCCUGAUCUCAUGGAGCUGACAUGCCAGUGGGCGAGACAGGCGACAGGCGUGGCCACAGAUCAAGUUGUUUCACGUGGUGACGAGCACAGUAGAGAACAUGGGGCAGGAUGGUGGGGGACAGAUGCCGGGGUGCUGCUUCAGCUGGGGGCUGCGGCGGGAGACUUCUGCAGGCACCUGCCAUGAUGAGCAGGAGCUGCUGGAUGAAGAUCAGUAGGGACAGCGUCCCAGGCAGAUGGUAGAGCAAGGUGCAAAGGUCUGGCAGCAGAAAUGAGCUUGGCAUAUUCAAGGAAUAGCCGAGAGGAGAAAAAUGAGGUUGGAGAUGGUAACAGGGCCAAGAUGUGUAGAAUCACAGUAGUGAGGGAUCAGGGGUUCUAUUCUCAGGGCCCCUGGAGACCAUUUGGCGGUCUGUCUUGGGGUGGUAGCUGGUUAUGUAAGACAUGAUCUCACUGAUGUUUUCAGAGAGAUUGGUUAGCCUUUACCCUUCGGGCCCCGCACAAGGCUUCUUCUCCAAAGCCAGUAGCCAGUGUCCGAGAGCCAGCUCUGGUUAGAAGAGGGACUCACUGAUUUGGACUUGCCCCUUUGCCCUACAAAACCCCCGCGAAACGUGCCCACGCCGCCGGAGCCGGGGUUUGGCUUCCAGUCCAGAGCAAGCGCUAUUCCUCCCGCAUGAGCCUCGGGCCCGGCCCCGGCCGCCCUCCCUGCAGCUGUCACUCUCUCCUGCCUCUCUCUCUCUCUUUCUCUCUCUCUCUGCGCAGAUAUUGUAGGCACUCUGAGGCCAGAUGAGAAAGCCAUCAUGACUUACGUGUCCUGCUUCUACCACGCUUUCUCGGGGGCUCAAAAGACCCUCCUCACUCUUUCUGUUCCUGUUCUGUUGCCGUUUCAACUUCUCCUCUUGGACCCUUUCUGUGCUUCCUGAAAGGUACCUGGCCUCUCCUCUCCCCGUGUGGCACCCCCUCGCUCUCCUUCUUCUCCACUCCUUGCAUUUCCCCCCAGCAGGACAAGGCAGCACAUUGUCCCGUAGUUCUGAGCAGAGACUGGUCACAGUCUCCACCGCUGCCUUCUGCCCCGUGGAUUGUGACUUCUGCCCAAUGAACCUUCCACACCCACCUCCGAAGGGAGGAUUAAGAAGGGGACACGUGUGCUUUGCGGCUGUGCGCAGACUUCUCUGGGGGCACCAGCACCUC